UCCUUUGCAAUUGCAAACGGGCUGGGCAACCCCGCCCACGGAUCGAAUCCUGCCUUGGGGCGGGGCUGAUCCUGCAUCUUUCUCGGCGUGUGCGGGGGAGUGAGGCCGGUGCGCCCCAGGGCGCCUUCCUGUUGGGGGGGCGGCGGGAGGCUGCUACUAAUAAGAGAAACGGGUGCCGCUGAAGAGGCCACACGUGGACCAAAAAGGUGAAGUGGUUCACAGCCCUGCUGAAGAGGAGCCAUGAAGCAGGAAAGCUUUUCAAGCUCUCCAGCAACCCCCUUGGGACCUCGCAAGACUGGCAGCUCUUCUAUCCCUGUGCUUGGCCAUCCUCGAUGCUGCCCCUGUCCUGCUCAGAGAAUAGCCCUGCCUUGGCACAACAGCAGGAAUUGAAAAGAAAAGGGCGGCGAUGGAGGGGAGAUCUUGCUUUUUAAUAAGCCUUCCACUGAUCCCUUCCUGCCUCCCCUUGUGCUGGAUCC